AUACUUUUCUUUGUUUUUCCAUCAAACGCUUUCUUUAUCUGUGAAAGAGAUAGUUUCUUGUUACUACAAUUUCAUUAUCAAUUGUCAAUCUUUCUAACCCUAAAUUCAAUUCAUAAUUUGUUUUCUGUUUGCACACUCUUUCGUUCUCCGUCAAUCUUGAUUAUCGCGCUCAAAAACCUCACAACACAAUGCAACACGUUCGUGUAACUCGCUCCGAGUCUCGUUCUCUUCGUUUUCGAUCGUUUUUAUCAUGCCGAUGGCUAAAGCUGAUUCCAAAGCCGCUGAUAACCGGUUGAAGCGUAAGGGAUUCAUGUUUCUGCUGCCUUUGCUUGAAUUGAAAUGGAAAAUAAUUCUAAGAUUCUUGUUUAGGGAUUUAUGUGUCUGCUGCCCUUGCUUGAUUUGAAAUGGAAAAGAAUAUAUGAUGGUGAAGGAGAACCAUCACAGUUGGCUCCUGUUGACAUUUUUGUUAGUACAUUGGACCCUCUCAAAGAGCCGCCUCUUGUAACUGCAAAUACUGUUUUGUCUAUACUUGCUGUUGAUUACCCUAUCGACAAGGUUUCCUGCUAUGUAUCAGAUGAUGGUUCAUCUAUGUUGACUUUUGAAGCCUUAUCUGAAACAGCCGAGUUUUUAAAGUUGUGGGUGCCGAAACAGCCGAGUUUGCAAAGUUGUGGGUGCCCUUUUCAAAAAGCACAAUAUUGAGCCAAGAGCACCUGAAUUUUAUUUUGCAAAGAAGACUGAUUGCUUAAAGGAUAAGAUUCAACCCUCAUUUGUUAAGGAGAGACGGGCAAUGAAGAGAGAAUAUGAAGAAUUCAAAGUAAGGAUCAAUAGUUAUGUGGCCAAAGCUCAGAAAACACCAGAGGAAGGUUGGACAGUGCAGGAUGGAACUCCUUGGCCUGGAAAUAAUUCUAGGGAUCAUCGUGGAAUGAUUCAGGUGUUUAUAGGUCAUAGUGGAGGACUUGAUACCAAUGUUUUGAAAACCGGACCGGACCGGCCGGUCCGACCGGUUCGACCACGAACCGGUGCCCUCGGCGGUCCGGUCGACUAGCAAGAACCGCUAGUCAGUGGAACCGGUCAAAAACCGGUGUGAACCGGUAUGAACCGGUGUGAACCGGUGUGAACCGGUGAGCCGGUGAACCGGAAAACCGGCCGGUUUUUCUCUCACUUAAAAAAAAAAAAAAAAA